CUGUAGUCACUGGGGAAUAAACAUUUUUAUUAAUAUCCAAUUAUAGAGGGUACUAUAUGACAUUGGAUAAUAAUAUCAGAUAGUUGUCCAUUCCCCAUUCUACGCCAAUGCUCCAUUUUCACAGCAUGGUUGAGAUGAUACAUAGGUUUAAUUCUGAUCCCAACCAUCGUAAGAACAGCAAUGGGAACAAGACGGGUUAUGCCUCUUCUAUAUGUACAAACAUAUACAGCGAUCAAGCUUCCUUAAAGGACUGAGUUGUCCUUUAGAACCUUUGCCAUUACAGGAAGUGGUAAUGUAUGAUGGGGAAUGAUGCACAGACCUGGGCAGUAAAAGAUGUUAU